rnacentral:rRNA from 1 species
GUUGUAUGGUUAAGUGACUAAGCGUACACGGUGGAUGCCUUGGCAGUCAGAGGCGAUGAAAGGCGUAAUAACUUGCGAUAAGCCCAGAUUAGGUAGUAAUAACCUUUUGAGUCUGGGAUUCCUGAAUGGGGAAACCCACUUACAUAAGUAAGUAUCCUGUUGUGAAUACAUAGCAACAGGAGGCAAACCGGGGGAACUGAAACAUCUAAGUACCCCGAGGAAGAGAAAUCAACCGAGA